rnacentral:rRNA from 1 species
GAUGAACGCUGGCGGCGUGCCUAAUACAUGCAAGUCGAGCGAACAGAUGAGGAGCUUGCUCCUUUGACGUUAGCGGCGGACAGGUGAGUAACACGUAGUUAACCUACCUAUAAGACUGGGAUAACUUCGGGAAACCGGAGCUAAGACCGGAUAAUAUUUCGAACUGCAUGGUUCGAUAGUGAAAGAUGGCUUUGCUAUCACUUAUAGAUGGACCUGCGCCGUAUUAGCUAGUUGGUAAGGUAACGGCUUACCAAGGCAACGAUACGUAGCCGACCUGAGAGGGUGAUCGGCCAGACUGGAACUGAGGAACAGCCCCGACUCCGACGGGAGGCAGCAGUACGGAAUCCUACGCGAUGCGGGAGUGCCUGAUGGAGCAACGUCGCGGAAAUGAUGAUGCAGCACGGAUGGGUAAGCUAUGUAAGUAGGGGAGUUCUAAAGUGUAAUUAACUGUGAAGAUAUUGACGGUACCGAAACAAAAAGCCCCGGCUAACUACGUG